ACGUACGCGAGUGAUGUAUAAAAUGUUUCGAAAAAUAAUUGUGUCGACUUGUAUCGUGCGUUCGUCGAUUUCCUUGUCGAAUAGAUUCUUAAUUGCUUCGGAAGAAAGAAGAGAGAGAGAGAGAGAGGAAGCUUACUUGGAGUGAAGAAGCGAUACUGCGUGAAAAAGAAGUAAAGAGAAUCGAUCGAUUUAGGCAUCUCCAAAAUUACAUCGUCGGCUAAUGAGACACUCAAUUUUACAGUUGCUAUUAAUAAAUUUUGAAUUCGUAAAGAAAUGAAUUCGAAGAUGAAAGAAAAAGAAAAAGAAGGAAAAAACGAAUCAAUAUUAUAUACCUACGCAUUUUGUUCAUCAGCCGACGCAUGAAGAAAUCGAAUGAUAAUGGAUUCCAGAAACUUGACGUUCGAGUUUUAUGAGACCGUCGCAGCGGAUUUAUCCCGAUAAGGAAACUUGGAAAAACGAGCUUGCACAUUCUCAACUUUACCAUCCCAACGUAUUUAACCAUGAAAGUCGAGCUACCUGAUCGAGGCUUCUUCAAUUUUCAACCAUAAAAAAUUUCAUUUCGAGUGCGAGUGUCCUCUUUUCGUUAAAUUGAAAUUCAUAUAGGAACGUUCUCAGAAAACUAGUGUCGUAACAUGGCUAAAAAAAAAAACAGAACUAUGCACAGUGCACUCACCGAAAACGAUCUUAAAAGAACAUGGAAGAUGUUCGUUCGAAAGGAUAGAAAAACAACAAAAAAUAGAGACACGGAGAUGGAAUCAGAGAGACAGAGAGACAGAAAAAAAGAAGAAGAGAGAAAAAAGGAAAAAAGAAUCAAGAAAAUGUCUAUGUAACAGAAGAAGAAGAAGAAGAAGAAGAAGUAACGGUGUCCUGGAGCAGCGAUAAGGGCCACCCGUUGGCGCCACAACGAUAUUGGAAUGUCAGAUUUCUUUCGAAUUCCAAAUGGAAUCGAACUUACCUCACCCCUACCCAAAAACCCUUAAAUCCUUCAAACCCCUCAAACCCCUCAAACCCUUCAAGUCCUCCACAUUCUCCCUCUACCACCCCACCCCCCUAACUUUCCCCAUUUCUACCACACAAAACUCUGGAAUUCCAAUCUCUCGAUUUUCUAUCGUUAUUUUUUUUUUCUUUCUUGUUUAUUUUUUUCCUUUUGGAACUUUUCCUUUUUUGUAAUUUUUCUUUCGUUUCUCUUUUCCUUUUCUUUUUCUUUUCUUCUCUUUUUUCGUCUUGAUUCGUUCUCUCUCUCUCUCUCUCUCUCUCUCUCUCUCUCUCUUUUUCUUUUUUAUUUUUGUUUCUUUUUUUUUGUUUUUGUUUUUGUUUCUUUGUUAUUCUUUCUCUUUCUCUUUCUCUUUUUUUUUUUCAAGAAAGUAGUAGCGAAUUAGGCAGGAAUAAAACUCGAACACUAUGCUCGGUUUUUACGCUUUUUCGAAUCUGCUCGUAGAGUAUGUACCACGAUUGAUUUUUGUAAUUCUUCUUCUUUCUAUUCUUCUUCCUUUUCUAAAGCUUUUUUGUGUUCUACUUUUAACGACAAAUAGUUGUACAAUACAAGUCGUUGUAGUUGUCAUCGUCGUUUUCGUUUUCGUUUUCGUUUCUUUCUUAAAUGUUUUGUUUUAGAAUCUAUCGAUCGAUAGAUCGACCAAUUUGGUUUUCGUCUAUCGUCGCAUACGAUGAUCGUGAACAGUGAUUUUAUUUUUUUUAUCGAACUAUUCUGUUUUAUGAGUAUUUGUUCGUUCGUGUUUAUGUUUUUCUAUGUAUAUUUUUCUCUGAGUGUAUUUGUGUUUGUAUGUGUUCGUACAACAAUAUGGUAUAUACAAUAUCUAAAAAAUUAUUUCGUAAAAUAUCAAUGAUGAACAAUUUUUGAAAUGGUUCUCAUCAAAAAUUAAUCCUUAAUAUAAAUAAAAUUUAUCUAUUUAUAUUUCCAAGUCAUUUAUUUACGUCAUUUAUUUCUUUGAUCUCGUUUAUGUUAAUGAUCAUUAAAUGAGAUUUAUGAUUCCGCGUGAUUGAAGGAAGAAAAAUAAAAAAAAAUAAAAUAAAAUAAAAAUAAAAUGUUCUUUACAUACUUCUUAUCAUAACGUUC